AACGAACGCUGGCGGCAUGCCUAACACAUGCAAGUCGAACGAGAUCUUCGGGUCUAGUGGCGCACGGGUGCGUAACGCGUGGGAAUCUGCCCUUUGGUUCGGAAUAACAGUUGGAAACGACUGCUAAUACCGGAUGAUGACGAAAGUCCAAAGAUUUAUCGCCAGAGGAUGAGCCCGCGUAGGAUUAGCUAGUUGGUGUGGUAAAGGCGCACCAAGGCGACGAUCCUUAGCUGGUCUGAGAGGAUGAUCAGCCACACUGGGACUGAGACACGGCCCAGACUCCUACGGGAGGCAGCAGUGGGGAAUAUUGGACAAUGGGCGAAAGCUUGAUCCAGCAAUGCCGCGUGAGUGAUGAAGGCCUUAGGGUUGUAAAAUUCUUUCACCGGGGACGAUAAUGACGGUACCCGGAGAAGAAGCCCCGGCUAACUUCGUGCCAGCCGCCGCAGUAA
rnacentral:rRNA from 1 species